GUACAAGUCUAGAUACAUCCUAAGUCGAUGGUCAUGUUUCUAUCCUGAUAAGAUGCCCCAGGAUUCUAACAUUAGAAAGGUGUUAUCUAGAGACUUUAGUGCAUACUUUAGAAAUUCUAUACUUACGGUGGAAUUAUACCAAACUGGAAAAGCAAUCUGAUGUUGAUUAGUAGCGAUUGCACUAGGUAAUGAGCAACUACAGACCCUGAAUCAAAAAAAAGGAUUUGUAUUUUCUUUCUAAGAAAUAUAGUUGAGAUACCAUUUUUGAGGUUUAUAAAUAAAAUCUCUCAUACUUGGAUGUGAUAACGAGAGGCUUGAUAACAUAUGACUAGUCUUGUUGACAUAGUAUUAUCACUAAAAAUAUGGGAUCCUCUAUGGUUGCAUUACAAAGUGCAGUACUAUUAUGGAUAGCUGCAGCAUCAUCUAUCUUGAAAAUGGAUGGCUCUUUUUCAUUAUCGCGAUGCAUUGUGUAUCAUAUUAAAAAUUUGUUGAAAAUAUUUUGACUACAAACUACUAUAUUUUUAUUUUAUAUAAGUAUU
rnacentral:lncRNA from 1 species